CCCACUUGUUUAUCACUAUUGUUUAUCACUAUUACCACUAUUUAUCACUACUAUGCUUGUUUAACACUUGUUUAUCACUAUUACUGUACUUGUUUAUCACUAUUACACUAACACAAAAGAUCGUCCAUGUGAUUUUUGAUGGGCUUAUACAAGAGGGGACUUAUAUACAGGGUGUAUCAAAAAAAGGUAAUCGAACUUCAGCGCGCUAUUGUAGGCCGUUUUCGCAUUUUAAAUAAGAAAAGAACCAACGUCAAGCUUGAUAUUUUCCAACAUGUAAAGUAAGCUAAAAAUGCAGAAAAUUAUUGAUUCACAUGCUUGCCAUAUAGCUAGUCAUAUAGCCGAUCCCUCCGAUUUUCCGUAUUUUGACGGUUUUUGUUGCCACUUGCAAGUCAGUACAGAACCAUGCGUGUUAUCUUAAAAGUAUAGUCGUAGAGAAAUGUGCAUACUAUAAGCAUAUGGCCGGUAUGAAUGAAUUAAAUCCUUUCGACAGGGUUGUCCAAUCAGUGGUAAACCACUAUUG